AGUAGUAAGUGCGAUUUGGCCAUGAUUCUUGUCCCUCCUUGAUUGCCAGCCUCGAUUUGGCUGACCUGGCUGGCUAGACACGUGUCCUCCUCCUCUCUCCCCUCUCCUUGUGUGUUUUCCUAAUGUUGGACCUCCUAUGGAAGAGGACAGUUUCCUGAUCAAAGAGGACCUCCUCUGUCAUAGCUGCGUUCCCUUUCCAGCACUGCCAAGUAAGCUGUCGUGGUGCAUUCAUAGGAGAACAUAGAACAGCAAAGCCCCAAGAUUCCAGACACAUCCCAGACUGCAGAUGGCAGUCUG
ensembl:misc_RNA 7SK 7SK RNA